GACGAACGCUGGCGGCGUGCUUAACACAUGCAAGUCGAACGAAGUGGCGAACGGGUGAGUAACGCGUAAUAAACCUGCCCUUCAGAGGGGGAUACCAGUUGGAAACGACUGCUAAUACCGCAUACUGAAGGCGGGGAUUGCGUCGGAGUAGCUAGUUGGGGGGGUAACGCCCCACCAAGGCGAUGAUCAGGAGCCGGUCGUAGAUGAGUAACGGCCACAUUGGGACGGAGACACGGCCCAGACGCCUACGGGAGGCAGCAGUGGGGAAGCUUCCGCAAUGGACGAAAGUCUGACGGAGCAACGCCGCGUGAGGGAUGACGGCCUUCGGGUUGUAAAGCUCUGUUAAUCGGGACGCGGUACCGGAAUAGAAAGCCACGGCUAACUACGUGCCAGCAGUCGCGGUAAUAC
rnacentral:rRNA from 1 species